rnacentral:misc_RNA from 1 species
GAAAUGCGAUAAGUAGUGUGAAUUGCAGAAUUCAGUGAAUCAUCGAAUCUUUGAACGCACAUUGCGCCCCUCGGUAUUCCGUGGAGCAUGCCUGUUCGAGCGUCAUCUACACCCUCAAGCUCUGCUUGGUGUUGGGCGUCUGUCCCGCCUCCUUCGCGCGCGGACUCGCCCCAAAUCCAUUGGCGGCGGCCCUUGCCUCCCUCUCGCGCAGCACAUUGCGCUUCUCGAGGCGCGGCGGACCGCGUCCAGCAAGCAACCGUCACACCGUCUUUGACCUCGGAUCAGGUAGGGAUACCCGCUGAACUUAAGC